rnacentral:lncRNA from 1 species
GUAAGUAGAAGUUUGUUGAUGGAAAAUAUGAAUUAAAAAAUCGUAAUUCAAAAGAAAAAUUAAAAUAAUUUAUUAAAUGCAUAGUUUGUAGUAUUUGAGGCAUUACAAUACGAUGAUUCAAUAAAUUAGGAUAGUUUUUAAAAAAAACAAAAGUGAAAAGAGCUCGUCGAAUUUUAUUACCCUGCAUCACUGUAACAACAAAAUUCAUUUGACGUAUUUUCUUAUCACACAGCACACGUGCUUUUAUCUUCACUACAUAUCUAUUUGAAUUACCUGGAAUGUAAUUUUAUUUGAUAUAAUAUAAUGGAUACCUCAUUUUCAUCUACGAAAUUCAAUGCCGAAGAUUUUGACAUCAUCGAAUUUUGUCAUGCUACAAGACUGCAAUCGAGGCCUGAAGUCACGUCAAUUGGAGAGUCAGAUGCAAAUGAUAGCACUGCAUUGCUAACUGAAUUUCUCCGCAAGGGAGAAUAUUUUGAGGUUUUCCACUCCAGUGCCGCCAAGAACUUGCUCAAUUCCUUGCAAGCAGCAAUUGACUCUUCUGAACAUAGCGAUGAUGUGGAUUUAAUUUUUUCUACUGCCUGCAAUAGUGAGUCAGUGAACAGAUGCUUGAAUACUCUUACAUCUUUUUCUGAUUACUUGUGUCUUCCUGUGGCAUUCCUUAGACUUUUUGUUCAAGCUAAUUGGACUGGACCGCCAGUUGACUCCAACAAAAUCAAUGGGGUCUCAGAAUGGGUCAGAGCGCUGUUUGCUAAAUGGAACAAUGAUUCACCCGAUAAACUACGGAUAUUUUUAACAAUAGAUGGAGAGUCUAUUUGCCAAAAUGCUAAGCACCUAGAACUACUUGUAGCUGCCCAGUUUUUAUUCAAAUUGAACAAGUUCUAUUCUGUAAGUCUUAUACUUUUCUCAGUGAAAAAUUUGCACAAAAAUUUUCAUUGCUUCAUCUGA